rnacentral:rRNA from 1 species
AGGGGUAACGAUGGCUUCGGCCAGGCGACGACCGGCGGACGGGUGAGUUCCGCGUUUGUAACCUACCUCUAACUGGAGCAUAGCUCCCGGAAACGGGAAUUAAUUCUCCAUAAUAUUCUAACAUGGCAUCAUGUUUUUAUUGAAGCUCAGGCGGUUAGAGAUGGGCAUGCGUGACAUUAGCUUGUUGGUAAGGUAACGGCUUACCAAGGCUGCGAUGUCUAGGGGGUCUGAGAGGAUGAUCCCCCACACUGGUACUGAGACACGGACCAGACUCC